UUGACCUCAGAUCAGGUGGAC
rnacentral:rRNA from 1 species